GACGAACGCUGGCGGCGUGCUUAACACAUGCAAGUCGAACGGAAAGGCCCUGCUUAUGUGGGGUGCUCGAGUGGCGAACGGGUGAGUAACACGUGAGUAACCUGCCCUUGACUUUGGGAUAACUUCAGGAAACUGGGGCUAAUACCGGAUAGGAGUUCCUGCUGCAUGGUGGGGGUUGGAAAGUUUCGGCGGUUGGGGAUGGACUCGCGGCCUAUCAGCUUGUUGGUGGGGUAGUGGCUUACCAAGGCUUUGACGGGUAGCCGGCCUGCGCGGGGGACCGGCCACAUUGGGACUGGAAUGAGGCCCAGACUCCUACGGGAGGCAACAGUGGGGAAUAUUACACAAUGGGCGGAAGCCUGAUGCAGCAACGCCGCGUGCGGGAUGACGGCCUUCGGGUUGUAAACCGCUUUCGCCUGUGACGAAGCGUGAGUGACGGUAAUGGGUAAAGAAGCACCGGCUAACUACGUG
rnacentral:rRNA from 1 species